GUUUACUGUGUUUUAUUUGACACUUUUUGAAGAGCACAGUACUCAGGAGAUGCAACAGUGAAAAGCUGUGAUCUGCUCCAGGACUUUAAGUGAGAUGCUGCUGCUGACAGGUCUAACCAAAAGGCAGCAAGGGCCAAGGUGCCUCAGGAAAGGACACUACCUUCUUCCAACUCGGACCAGAUCUCUCCUAUGACAUUUUCAACCAUAAAGGUGCGGCUUUGACGGUUA